AUUUCCUUCUUUCCCUUCAUUUUUCUUUCUUUCCACAUUUGAACAAAUUUAGGGAUUUAAUUCCCAAAAUCGUGAAAUUGCCGCGCCCGUUCCAAGAAGAGCUCGUCGCCGGCGAACAUCAAUUCUCACCAGAUGGCGACCUUCGGUGGUACGCCCGCCGUCACAGCCAUGCCCCUACCCAAGCGCCAGCGCCGAGUUCCACUAGCGGUUAAUCCCCAACGUGGGAUGAAUGUAAUAGUCGAUCCCAUGAUCACACAAGGAUCAACACUAUAAAACCCCUAAGAAUUAUGAACGAAAUACAAAAAGAGCUUUUAUAAUUUUCUGUUGCCUUCUUCUUUCUCUACUUCCGUCAACGUCUCCUCCGACCAACAUCGACCGACAUGCUCUCCGGACGUGUCAUCCGGUGAAGCUUUAGGAAAUAAUAAUCAUUUCUAUUUAUACGCUAUAUCUAUUCAUAUAUGGGCUAUAUCAAUAUAUAGUUUAUCGUACAUUCAGUUAAACACUUUCACUUUGAUAUACAAGGGUUUAACUGA
rnacentral:lncRNA from 1 species